rnacentral:rRNA from 1 species
UACGGAGGAUGCAAGCGUUAUCCGGAAUGAUUGGGCGUAAAGCGUCCGCAGGUGGCUGUGUAAGUCUGCUGUCAAAGAGCGAAGCUCAACUUCGUAAAGGCAGUGGAAACUACACGGCUAGAGUGCGUUCGGGGCAGAGGGAAUUCCUGGUGUAGCGGUGAAAUGCGUCGAGAUCAGGAAGAACACCGGUGGCGAAGGCGCUCUGCUAGGCCGCAACUGACACUGAGGGACGAAAGCUAGGGGAGCGAAUGGG